UUGACCCGCCAUGUUAUCUAAACAUCUUGCUGAUGUUUCCACAGCCCCUGGAGUAUCCUUGCCUGUACAAACAUAUCUAAAACCUCUGCUUCCUGUUGAUUGGCUAUGGGGGAAAGAACUGCGACAGCACAUCAAGAAGAAAGCUGAGGCUGUUUCCACCAGGCUUAGAACUGAAAGAAAGAAUUUCACUCCGUGAUUCCUCCAGCUUCUGGUUGAUCUAGAGCACAUCGUUCAGAAAGGCUGGUGUAGAGACUGGGAGAGAGACAUAACUAUAUGAUGCUUUUAGGUGAGCUGACUAGUGUCUAAUUAUAAUUAGCCUCACUGUUAGACAUAUACACUUGAUUCCCAUCUGUAUUAGUUCUACUUCUGCUUCCAGCCACUGGGUUUUUCUCUGUUAGAUCAAAGGACCUGCUGCUACCAGAAAUCUUCCCCAGGUGGAGAAACUGAUAGACAGAGCAUGAAGGCACAUCCCCAUUUCACAGAUGGGGAAACUGAGGCUCUGAGCAAUGAGGUACUUUGCCCAAGAUGUUGCAGUGAGCCAGCUGCACAGCUCACGAAAAGAACUCGGUAUCACUCGGUCCCAUUCACCAGGCCCUGUGGGCCUGAAUGUAUUUUUGGGAUCCAAUCUGGAGUGAAACCCAGAUUCCUGGAGGAAGCCCAUAUGCCUGUGUUGUUGUUUUUGUGAGGAGGGGGAGUCAGCUGGCUUGAUGGUCUCCUCACAUUUUUUCCCUUGCCACACUUCCCGUUUCCUCUGUUUGGAGCAGCUCUGUCACUGAAGGGCCAGAUCAAACAGCUUCUAAAGGUGUUGUUUCCCCUCUUUAUUAAUGUGUCUCAGCUCUGACUCAUUUCCUUUCCCACUACAGAUCAUUCUUUGGUGAAUUCUAAAAUAAACCCCUUUGCUCAGCUCCCAUCCUAGAGUUUGGCAGGUUAGCUACUGAAUUGCCUUUGUUUGUUUCUUCUAUUACUAACAAACAGUUUCAGUAACUCUUUAAGGGACAAGCUGAAGCCGGGAUCAGGAUACACUGCAUCCGUGGGCUCCCCAGGGGUUUUCAAGAAGGACCAAGCUAAUAAUAAUCAAUGACUGUGUUUGUUAGCUUCCUUUUAUUGUUGUCCUUGCUUGAGUUUAUUGUGGGCUUUGGCCCCGGAUGUUUCACUUCAGUCUGGAGCAUCUGGAAGUUCUGGGAAUUUCAGACAACACAGAGAUUUACCACAACAUGCUUGCAAUCCACAUUCCCUACCCCCCAAAAUGAAAUUAAUAGACAGGCUGGAUCCUCCAAGGGAUUGGGGUUGUUCUAAAGAACAAUGUGAGUUUAUUUUUUUAAAUCACAUCUAUGAGCAAAAAAAAAAAA